rnacentral:misc_RNA from 1 species
GAUGAAGAACGCAGCGAAAUGCGAUAACUAAUGUGAAUUGCAGAAUUCAGUGAAUCAUCGAAUCUUUGAACGCACAUUGCGGCCAUAGGUAUUCCUUUGGCCAUGCCUGUUCGAGCGUCAUUUACACCCUCAAGCCUAGCUUGGUGUUGGGCGUCUGUCCCGCCGUUUUCGCGCGCGGACUCGCCUCAAAGUCAUUGGCGGCGGUCGUGCCGGCCCCCUCGCGCAGCACAUUUGCGCUUCUCGGAGGCCCGGCGGAUCCGCGCUCCAGCAAGACCUUUCACGACUUGACCUCGGAUCAGGUAGGGAUACCCGCUGAACUUAAGCAUAUCAAUAAGCGGAGGA